rnacentral:rRNA from 1 species
UACGUAGGGUGCGAGCGUUGUCCGGAAUUAUUGGGCGUAAAGGGUUCGUAGGCGGUUUGUUGCGUCAGGAGUGAAAACUCGGGGCUUAACCCCGAGCCUGCUUCUGAUACGGGCAGACUAGAGGUAUGCAGGGGAGAACGGAAUUCCUGGUGUAGCGGUGAAAUGCGCAGAUAUCAGGAGGAACACCGGUGGCGAAGGCGGUUCUCUGGGCAUUACCUGACGCUGAGGAGCGAAAGUGUGGGGAGCGAACAGG